rnacentral:rRNA from 1 species
UAAGGAAUAUUGGUCAAUGGACGCAAGUCUGAACCAGCCAUGCCGCGUGAAGGAUGAAGGUCCUCUGGAUUGUAAACUUCUUUUAUCUGGGACGAAAACGGGAUUUUUAUCUCAAUUGACGGUACCCGCAGAAUAAGCCCCGGCUAACUUCGUGCCAGCAGCCGCGGUAAGACGAAGGGGGCAAGCGUUGUUCGGAAUUACUGGGCGUAAAGGGCGCGUAGGCGGUCCGAUCAGUCAGGCGUGAAAGCCCUGGGCUUAACCUGGGAGGUGCGCUUGAUACUGUUGGGCUUGAGUGUGGGAGAGNAUGGUGGAAUUCCCAGUGUAGAGGUGAAAUUCGUAGAUAUUGGGAAGAACACCGGUGGCGAAGGCGGCCAUCUGGACCACAACUGACGCUGAGGCGCGAAAGCGUGGGGAGCAAACA